rnacentral:rRNA from 1 species
UGGGGAAUAUUGCACAAUGGGCGAAAGCCUGAUGCAGCGACGCCGCGUGAGGGAUGACGGCCUUCGGGUUGUAAACCUCUUUUAGUAGGGAAGAAGCGAAAGUGACGGUACCUGCAGAAAAAGCACCGGCUAACUACGUGCCAGCAGCCGCGGUAAUACGUAGGGUGCAAGCGUUGUCCGGAAUUAUUGGGCGUAAAGAGCUCGUAGGCGGUUUGUCGCGUCUGCUGUGAAAUCCCGAGGCUCMACCUCGGGCUUGCAGUGGGUACGGGCAGACUAGAGUGCSGUAGGGGAGAUUGGAAUUCCUGGUGUAGCGGUGGAAUGCGCAGAUAUCAGGAGGAACACCGAUGGCGAAGGCAGAUCUCUGGGCCGUAACUGACGCUGAGGAGCGAAAGCAUGGGGAGCSAACAGGAUUAGAUACCCUGGUAGUCCAUGCCGUAAACGUUGGGCGCUAGAUGUAGGGACCUUUCCACGGUUCCUGUGYCGUASCUAACGCAUUAAGCGCCCCGCCUGGGGAGUACGGCCGCAAGGCU